GACGAACGCUGGCGGCGUGCCUAACACAUGCAAGUCGAACGAGGUCCAACCGGUGGCAACACUGGUGAAGACCUAGUGGCGAACGGGUGAGUAUCACGUGAGCAACCUGCCCCGAAGACUGGGAUAACACCGGGAAACCGGUGCUAAUACCGGAUAUCCCCACCGAAUCGCAUGGUUUGGUGAGGAAAUGAAUUUCGCUUUGGGAGGGACUCGCGGCCUAUCAGCUUGUUGGUGGUGUAACGGACCACCAAGGCUUCGACGGGUAGCUGG
rnacentral:rRNA from 1 species